rnacentral:rRNA from 1 species
AUUGAACGCUGGCGGCAGGCCUAAUACAUGCAAGUAGGACGAGCGGCGGCCGGGUGAGUAAUGUAUGGGGAUCUGCCUGAGGGAGGGGGUUAACUACUGGAAACGGUAGCUAAUACCGCAUACCAUCAGAUGACCCCAUAUGGGAUUAGCUUGUAGGUGGGGUAACGGCUCACCUAGGCGACGACCCCUAGCUGGUCUGAGAGGAUGAUCAGCCACACUGGAACUGAGACAUGGCCCUGACUCCUACGGGAGGCAGUAGUGGGGAAUAUUGCACAAUGGGCGCAAGCCUGAUGCAGCCAUGCCGCGUGUAUGAAGAAGGCCUUCGGGUUGGAAAGGACUUUCAGUCGGGAGGCGUUACCGACAGAAGAAGCACCGGCUAACUCCGUGCCAGCAGCCGCGGUAAUAC